rnacentral:rRNA from 1 species
GGAUUAGAUACCCUGGUAGUCCACGCCGUAAACGAUGUGUGCUAGUUGUUGGGCCCUUAGGGUUCAGUGACGCAGAGAAAUCAUUAAGCACACCGCCUGGGGAGUACGGCCGCAAGGUUAAAACUCAAAGGAAUUGACGGGGACCCGCACAAGCGGUGGAGCAUGUUGUUUAAUUCGAAGCAACGCGAAGAACCUUACCACCCCUUAACUAUCUUCUUGGGACUUUCAGAGAUGAUUGUCUUCGGUUCGGCCGGGGAAUGAAUAGGUGCUGCAUGGCUGUCGUCAGCUCGUGCCG